CCGUUAGGGACCCAGGGGCACCACGCCCCGGGGCNNNNNNNNNNUGUGAUGCUCUGAUUUCUCUCGGGCGUCCAGUUCAGAUGAGGAUGAUGAUAAUGAAGAAAAAACCCCACCACCAUCACCACCACUACCUUUGACACAUUCCAUUGCAACUGCUCUCUUGGCUUCAGUUUUAUGGUCUACACCACACUUGUUUAUUUGCCUCUCAAUUGACCCCUUUCAUUGGGGCAGGUAAGUGGUGGGAUGGAUAAAAUGCUGGGUUAGAAUCAGGAAGAUCUGAGUUCAAAUCUGGCCUCACGCACAUACUAACUGUGUGACCCUGGGUAAGUCAUUUAACCUCUGAUUGCUUCCAUUUUGAGGAUAAUCAUAGCACCCACCUCCCAGGGUUAUUUUGCAUUUCAAAUGAGAUAAUAUUUGUAAGGCACCUACCAUUGCUGGC
rnacentral:lncRNA from 1 species